GAUGAACGCUGGCGGCGUGCUUAACACAUGCAAGUCGAACGGAAAGGCUCCUGCUUGCAGGGGCACUCGAGUGGCGAACGGGUGAGUAACACGUGGGUGAUCUGCCCUGCACUUCGGGAUAAGCCUGGGAAACUGGGUCUAAUACCGGAUAGGACCAUCGUUUAGUGUCGGUGGUGGAAAGUUUUUUCGGUGUGGGAUGAGCUCGCGGCCUAUCAGCUUGUUGGUGGGGUAAUGGCCUACCAAGGCGUCGACGGGUAGCCGGCCUGAGAGGGUGUACGGCCACAGUGGGACUGAGAUACGGCCCAGACUCCUACGGGAGGCAGCAGUGGGGAAUAUUGCACAAUGGGCGCAAGCCUGAUGCAGCGACGCCGCGUGGGGGAUGACGGCCUUCGGGUUGUAAACUCCUUUCGACAGGGACGAAGCGAAAGUGACGGUACCUGGAUAAGAAGCACCGGCUAACUACGUG
rnacentral:rRNA from 1 species